ACGGCGAGUGAAGCGGCAAAAGCUCAAAUUUGAAAUCUGGUUGUGCCUGGCGCAGCCCGAGUUGUAAUUUGAAGAAGGCGACUCUGGAGGCGGCCCUUGCCUAUGUUCCUUGGAACAGGACGUCACAGAGGGUGAGAAUCCCGUGCGGCGAGGUGGCCCCGGCUCCGUGUAGAGAGCCUUCGAAGAGUCGAGUUGUUUGGGAAUGCAGCUCUAAGUGGGUGGUAAAUUCCAUCUAAAGCUAAAUAUUGGCGAGAGACCGAUAGCGAACAAGUACAGUGAUGGAAAGAUGAAAAGAACUUUGAAAAGAGAGUGAAAAAGUACGUGAAAUUGUUGAAAGGGAAGGGUAUUAGAUCAGACUUGGCGGUUGGUGGGGAUCCCCCCGUGCCUGUGGGGGGGGGGGACUCCCUGCUGGCUGCUGCACCAUCGUUGCGGGGGACGGCAGAAUAAUGGGGAGAAUGAUGCGGCGGCGCCCCGUUGGGCUGGUGUGGUUCUUAUUCCUCGGAGAUGAUGCCUGCGUGGAGGAAGGAGGGCGGCCUUCUGAACUACUAGGAUGCUGGCAUGAUGUUCUAACACCCGCCGUGAUGAAAAAAAACACCAAAA
rnacentral:rRNA from 1 species